rnacentral:sRNA from 1 species
GCUGGGUGUGGUGGCGCACACCUGUAAUCCCAGCCACUUGGGAGGCUGAAGCAGGAGGAUUGUGAGCCCAAAGCCAGCUUCAGCAACUUAAUGAGGCCCUAAGCAACUCAGCGAGAACCUACUUCUA